GCGCGGGCUGGGGCGGCCCGAUUCGGGCUCUGGGCUUCGGCGGUGAGUCCGGCGCGGCGCCGCUCCGACCCCGCUGAACCGCGGAGCCCGGGAGCUGUAGCCUCGCCCCAGGCAGGCCGGGCGGAGUGGUGGUGGGUGGGCUUAUCCCGCUUGCCCGCGCGGCGCCCACCCAGCUCCCCUGCUUUAUUAUGGAUUGACCCGCGCGCCCGGGUCCUCACGUCAACGCAGAGCGUCGGCGUCCCCGGGAGGCAUCUGUCCCGGCCAGCCUCGUAGCUGACGCCGCGGAAGGGCCGGGGCUCGGUCCGGACCCCCCGGGCCCGCCGCCCUCCCCUGCCGGCUCUCCUCUCCGCAGCCCUCUGCCCUCGCCUCGGAGGGACCGGGGGCCGGCUUGGUGGGCAGCUCCCCGGCCGCCGGGCCCCAGAUUCCAGCCGGGGGUCUUUGCGUAAGCAGGUGAUGGCGAGGGUGAAAAUGACUCAAGCCUCAGAGCCUCCAGAAGCAUCUGGAAGGUUCUUAGCGGGUGGGCCUCCAACACUGGUCUGCAGAGAAGCCGCCGGGCACGAGGGCAGGCUAGGGAGCCUUGAGAACUUCCUUUUCCGGGAGAGACAACCACACAGAACCUACUGGACCAUCUCCAAAGCAGAAGGUGCCCAGAAAGGCGGUAAAUGGGGACCCGAACUUCUCCGCAGCCCGCGCCCCGGGGCCCGUGAGAGAAACAUGAAACGGCAGCGAGCCCGCACGUGCGAAACGUGCGCCAAGAGCUUCCGGUACCUCUCGCGCCUGUGAGACACCGGGCCACGCACAGCGGCGAGAAGCCGCUCGCGUGCGGGGGUGCGGCCGCGCGUUCAGCCAGCGCUCGCACCUGGCGCAGCGCCGCAGCGCGCACGUGGGCCAGAAGCCGCACACCUGCGGACAGUGCGGCCACGCGUCCACAGCGGCGAGAAGCCCUUCGGGUGCCGGUGGUGCGGGAAGCCCUUCAGUUACAGCACCCUCCUCGCCCAGCACCAGCGGAUCCACACCCGAGAGAGGCCGUUCCGGUGCGCGAGGUGCGGGAAGAGCUUCAUCUGGAAGUCCAGCUUUCGGAACCACCAGAAAUCACACCGAGGCAGCGUGGACCUCUGUAAGCUAAGCUCUGGAAGCAGCCGCUGGAUGGGAGAGCUUGGGACUCGCUGCUACUCCAAGGAGCGCCCCGGAAGGAUGUCCCCGGGCACGUGGAGCAGUGCCAGAGCGAGAGCAGCACGAGGGACCGGAUUGUUCUCCACCCGCGAUCAGCCUGUGCAUUUCGGGUCCUUCCCACGACGGGGGUGGCCCAGGCCUGCCCGCCCCGGCGGGCGCCGCCCGGCAGCUGGAUUCCGCGUGGCUGUGGUACUUCUUGGGCAAGUUGAUGGUUUGAAAGUCGCUAUUUUCAAGUGCAUCCAGAUUUUAUUUUUGAAACUUAAAACCACUUCCUAGGAUCUGUUGUAGGAAGUCACAGUGGUGGUCUCAGUCUGGGUGCACCUCCUCCUGUGGCCACUGGUCAACCCGGGAGGAAGCUAAGGCAAUCAGACCCUCCCCUCCAGUCCAUCACUGAAGGAAAAGGUGUGUAUAUAUCUCAUGUCAUCUGUGAAUAGUGAUAGAUUUACUUCUUUCCAAUUUGGAUGCCUUUUCUUUUUCUUGCCCAGUUACUCUGGCUAGAAAUUCCAGUACAAUGUUUAACAGGAGUGGCAAAAAUGGAUAUCCUUGUCUAAUUUCUUACCUUAGAGGGAAAGCUUUCAGUCUUUCAUUCAUAGAGUAUGAUGUUAGCUGUGGGUUUUUCAUAAAUGCCCUUUAUUAAGUUGAGGAAGUCCUCUUCUGUUCCUGGUUUGUUGCGUGUUCUUAUCAUGAAAGGGUGUGAUUUUGUCAAAUGCUUUAUCUGCAUCAGCUGAGAUGAUCAUGUAGUUUUUUUCUUUGUCUUUUUUUAAAACAA